rnacentral:ncRNA from 1 species
GAGCGCGCAAGUGCGUGCUCACCACAACACAAGGGAGUCGCCCGGGUCUCCCUGCCUGGGCGACUCUUCC